UAAAAACCUUUAAAAAAGAAUAAGUAUAGUGUUCUGUACAGUGUACUCAGUACUCACUGACUCACUGUCUCGGGUGGUGCUCUCCACUCCACUCAACCACAAAAAAAAUUUCUUAUAUUCUAAUGCCUAAUUAGUAAUUACUAUUUCUCAUUCUAGAGAAAGACUCAAAGACAGAAAAGUGAGACUGAGGUCUGAGAACAGAGAGGAGAGAACUGAAACCCUAACACCUAAAGCAGCAGCCGCCAGCCAGUACCCAGUAGCCACCAAUCCUUUCCGCCUCCGCUCGUCGUCGUCUACUUCCACCAGUCGUCGGUCUCCCUCCUCUCGCCAU
rnacentral:lncRNA from 1 species